rnacentral:rRNA from 1 species
GGAUGGCGGCAUGCACAGGCAGAGCAUUUAUACGGUGAAACUGCGAAUGGCUCAUUAAAUCAGUUAUCGUUUAUUUGAUAGUACCUUACUACAUGGAUACCUGUGGUAAUUCUAGAGCUAAUACAUGCUAAAAACCUCGACUUCGGAAGGGGUGUAUUUAUUAGAUAAAAAACCAAUGCCCUUCGGGGCUCCUUGGUGAAUCAUAAUAACUUAACGAAUCGCAUGGCCUUGCGCCGGCGAUGGUUCAUUCAAAUUUCUGCCCUAUCAACUUUCGAUGGUAGGAUAGUGGCCUACCAUGGUGGCAACGGGUAACGGGGAAUUAGGGUUCGAUUCCGGAGAGGGAGCCUGAGAAACGGCUACCACAUCCAAGGAAGGCAGCAGGCGCGCAAAUUACCCAAUCCCGACACGGGGAGGUAGUGACAAUAAAUACUGAUACGGGGCUCUUUUGGGUCUCGUAAUUGGAAUGAGUACAAUCUAAAUCCCUUAACGAGGAACAAUUGGAGGGCAAGUCUGGUGCCAGCAGCCGCGGUAAUUCCAGCUCCAAUAGCGUAUAUUAAAGUUGUUGCAGUUAAAAAGCUCGUAGUUGAACCUUGGGUCUGGCUGGCCGGUCCGCCUCACCGCGAGUACUGGUCCGGCUGGACCUUUCCUUCUGGGGAACCUCAUGGCCUUCACUGGCUGUGGGGGGAACCAGGACUUUUACUGUGAAAAAAUUAGAGUGUUCAAAGCAGGCCUUUGCUCGAAUACAUUAGCAUGGAAUAAUAGAAUAGGACGUGCGGUUCUAUUUUGUUGGUUUCUAGGACCGCCGUAAUGAUUAAUAGGGAUAGUCGGGGGCGUCAGUAUUCAGCUGUCAGAGGUGAAAUUCUUGGAUUUGCUGAAGACUAACUACUGCGAAAGCAUUCGCCAAGGAUGUUUUCAUUAAUCAGGGAACGAAAGUUAGGGGAUCGAAGACGAUCAGAUACCGUCGUAGUCUUAACCAUAAACUAUGCCGACUAGGGAUCGGGCGGUGUUUCUAUGAUGACCCGCUCGGCACCUUACGAGAAAUCAAAGUUGUGGGUCUGUGUUGUGAUGAAUUCCCUUGGU